rnacentral:rRNA from 1 species
UGCCAGCCGACGCGGUAAUACGGAGGGGGUUUGCGUUGUUCGGAAUUACUGGGCGUAAAGCGUGCGCAGGUGGUUUUGUAAGUCAGAUGUGAAAUCCCCGGGCUUAACCUGGGAACUGCGUUUGAAACUACAAGGCUAGAGUGUGGCAGAGGGGGGUGGAAUUCCGCGUGUAGCAGUGAAAUGCGUAGAGAUGUGGAGGAACACCGAUGGCGAAGGCAGCCCCCUGGGUCAACACUGACGCUCAGGCACGAAAGCAUGGGGAGCAAACAGGAUUAGAUA